GUUGUUUGAAGGGAAAAUAAUAGCGUCUGCUCAAUGAUAAAUGGCUAUAGUAAUUUAACUAUACAAAGGUAGCAUAAUCAUUUGUCUUUUAAUUGGAGGCUAGAAUGAAGGGCUGUACUAAGGGGGAAGUUUUACGAGUUGAACUUAGAUUAAGAAUAAGAAUAUUUUUAUAAAUCCCUGGGACGAGAAGACCCUAGAAGCUUAGAAAAUCUUUUGGUUGGGGCGAUUAGAGAAGAUUCAAACUUUUAAAAGUUACUCUAGGGAUAACAGCAUAAUUAGAUUAUAGAGUUCUUAUUGAAUAUUUAGUUUGUGACCUCGAUGUUGAAUUAAGAGGUGCAGGAGCCUUAGUUUGUUCGACUAUUAAAAGCUUACA
rnacentral:rRNA from 1 species